GACGAACGCUGGCGGCGUGCUUAACACAUGCAAGUCGAACGGAAAGGCCCUGCUUUUGUGGGGUGCUCGAGUGGCGAACGGGUGAGUAACACGUGAGUAACCUGCCCUUGACUUUGGGAUAACUUCAGGAAACUGGGGCUAAUACCGGAUAGGAGCUCCUGCUGCAUGGUGGGGGUUGGAAAGUUUCGGCGGUUGGGGAUGGACUCGCGGCUUAUCAGCUUGUUGGUGGGGUAGUGGCUUACCAAGGCUUUGACGGGUAGCCGGCCUGAGAGGGUGACCGGCCACAUUGGGACGGAGAUACGGCCCAGACUCCUACGGGGGGCAGCAGUGGGGAAUAUUGCACAAUGGGCGGAAGCCUGAUGCAGCAACGCCGCGUGCGGGAUGACGGCCUUCGGGUUGUAAACCGCUUUCGCCUGUGACGAAGCGUGAGUGACGGUAAUGGGUAAAGAAGCACCGGCUAACUACGU
rnacentral:rRNA from 1 species